CAUGGGCAGCAUUCAGACUUCAGCGUCUCUCAGUGGCCUUCCUGACUCCAACCUGCAUCUCACCCUGAUUUUCUUCCUGCUCCGGGAACUAGGCUUUGGGCUUCACUCUGCUCUCUCGUGGUGUUCCGAACCAUGCACUCUGAAUGCCUUCUUUGGCUUUGUAUUUCCUGCCUGCUGAUGACCACUUACAGCAGUUCAAUCCCAUACAGGGUCCAGGGCAGGCCAAAUAGGUGGAGAACAGUCCAGAACAGUCCAUGCAUCUGACAAGUGCAUGGAUUUACCCAUCUGGAAUACAACAUUCAGCAGCUACAGAACAAAAACCAUGUGCAACUGGACAGCAAUAAAUAUCCGGAAGACCCAAUACAACCAAAAUGGCAUUGAAGGAUCUGUCAAGAUCAACAGCAAGGGUUGCCGCAGAGAACACUGGGCCAGCAGCGCUCCGCUGGAGACAGAAACAGCCCACCGUGGAUGAACACAGCAGGGAAGGGGCACUGCCCUGCCAUCUGGAAGGUGAUGUGGAGAAGGCAUCACAGGCCUGCACAGGUUCUUUCCUUGUUCUGGUGCGUCCUCUGGGUCAUGGACGGGGAGGAACAUCCUGGAGGGUCAAGGCCAUCUGCCCAGCAGUCUAGACCAGGUGAGUGUUUUCGGUGGUGAGGUAAGGUGAGGAUGAGGCAUCAUCUUUAGGUUGUAAGAAAUUGAAACCCACUCAUACUAACUUGAGAAAAAGAAAGAAAAGAAAAACAAACACGUGGGGCUCCUGGGCGGCUCAGUAGAUUAAGUGUUCGACUUCGGCUCAGGUCAUGAUCUCGCGGUUUGUGGGUUCGAGCCCCGCGUCAGGCUCUGUGCUGACAGCUCAGAGCCUGGAGCCUGCUUUGGAUUCUGUGUCUCUGGCUCUCUCUGCCCCUCCCCUGCUCGUGCUCGGUCUGUCUCUCUGUCUCAAAAAUAAAUAAACAUUAAUUAAAAAAAAAAAAAGAAAAACAAACAAGAAAGGGAGUGUUUCUUUAAAGAAGUCAGGCAUUUCACAGAACCCAGGCUAGAAGUGCAUUGUGAGCACAGGGGGGAUGGAGUGGGGGGGGACAUCACUCAGCGGCCGUCUCGCCCAGUCUCCACCCUGUUCAUCUUUCCUCUCUGUAGUCUGGCUUUCGCUGCCUCUGGUAGGUAGCAGGGCCGAAGAUGCUUCCAAACACCUGCUCAGAUCUAACAUCUCUGAGCUGCCAUUCUAAGUCCCCAGGAGACAAUGUGAUUUGUUCCCCUGGGGCCACAAGGCUAAGGCCAGGGAGUGUGGGUGUCCAUUCUCAGAGAAGGCAGAGUUUGGGUGGCUGGGCAGACCCCCAAAGGUCAUGCUGGAGUGCUCUGGAGAGGUGUCCAGCUCUAGAUAUUGUCAGCACCCAUGUUCUGGAGAGACGGUGCUGAGAGGUCUGCCCUUUAAAGUAAUACAUUGGCUUCGCAUUUAUAAGUCUUCUGUGGCGUUAUUAAAUCCAUAAAUAAAGAUUUAAUCUUUUAAGCUCUGCAUCGUGAGGGCAGAAGUUAAAGGGCAGGCAGAGGAGAGCUCAUCAACGUUGGUUUGGUGGGGGUUAGGGGGGUAGCAAGGGAAGAGCGUCCAGGCUGCUGGGGCGGAGGAAGAGGGAGGAGAGGCGGCAGCUGCUGAUAGGGGCUAAGGGUGGAGGGACCCCCUGGCCUGCCCUCCGACAGAAAAGCUCUUGCACUGGAGACCACUGCCUGAAGAGGCAGCCAGAGACAGGCUGGACGGCGGGUCCUCAAGAGAGCCAUCCUGAAAGCUGGGAGAACUAUCAGGAGUGUCAGCAGCUCUCAAAAUGAGCGGGUUUUGACCUGAACAGGUAAAGAAUGGGAGCACUGUUGGGGGAGGAUCCCAGGAGCCUGAGGGAAGGAAGGGGCGUGUGCACAAGGAGAGGGACUGAGCCUGGGGAGGACGAGCCAAAGGGCUCUGCUUCCUGCUUAGCCCACAGCCCUGUCCCGGAGGAAGCCCCGACACCUGAAUCAACUGCUUCAUCCUCACAUCUCUGCGCUUCCCUCCCCGCCAUCCAGGGCUCACGCAACGUUGGCUUAUCCUUGAUGAAAAUGGCAAGACGAUCACUUUGGUUUCUCCGGCAGGCAGACAUGAAGACCAGCACCAGGGAGGAGAAGAUACUGAGCACAGAGCGGAGAGCUUGGGAGUUAGGGCAGGAGACUGGGGGCCAGAGUAGGGGAAGGGGAGCCCUCUCCACCCGGCCUUGUGAUGGGGGCAACGUCUAGACUACCCAUCUGGGCUGACAGCUGUACCCGGAGGCCUGGGCCGCUAACCGUCGUAGGGCCGGGUGUUGGAAGCAAAUGUGGAGCUACUCUUUGAGCUUUUAGUCCCUUCUCCACCAUUAGGACCUCUGCUUUCCACUGUCUUUGGUUCAACCCAAACCAGAGGUCACACCUGUCUCUGCCACGUGACGGGUUAUGGAGGGUCCGACAAGGGGCGGUGAGGCUGGUGUCUGAUGAUAGGAUUCAGCUGCCGAGACUCUCUCCUUGAGCAGCAGAUAAUUUAGUUUAAUGAAUCUGGACAGUUCACUGGAUCUGCCCACACAGUUCCACUCACCUUCCAAAACGCUUCCAAAAUAGCACUAGCUAUUGUACAAGAGCCAAAAAAAAAAAAAAAAAAAAAGCAAAAAGUAAUAAAUGACAAGGCCCCGGAGAUUUCUGCCCUUUCAGAAAAGUCUGAGUGAACUUUUCUGAAGAAAAUUUAAGCCAAAAGAAAAAAAAAAAAAAAGAAAGAAAAGGCUGUUUUUGUCUUUCUCAUUGAGGAUUCAGGCCAAGAAAGAUGCCCCUAAAGACAGGUGCCCACACGCGGGAGGCAGAAGGACCAGGAUUUUAAACUCUGCUCCUCGGGCUGAUGUCAUUUACACGCCGUCUCAGAGCUGUUCUCUCCUCAGGGUCCUCCAAAAGCCAUUCCUGAUGUCUGCUACCCCAGCAAGGUAACUCCACAGACUCGGCCCCAGCCCCUGGCAGCUUCCGAUCACACUGACGCACAGUGUCACGCGGGCAAGGAGGCCACCCUCCCCAGGUGCACCCGCACGCGCACACACAGCGACAGUGCCACGCUGCCCCUCCGCUGGGCGGGGACCCCCUCUCCCCAGGCCUCCAGUGAGAACUCCCCGUCUCCUCCACAGCCCCCCUGUGCACCGCAUGCAGGAGCCAGAUGUUCCGUGGGCAGCCCCCUCCGUGUGUGACAGGCGGUGAUUACCGUUGCCAGCCCCACAUUAGGAGAGAAUUGAAUGGGAGAGAGCCCCCCUCCUGCCCCGGGCUCCCCACAAUAGCGCCUUUGUGAGGUGCUUCACUGCCUUUCUUUUCCUUCCUCACCAACCUACGUCAGGGGCAGCUCUGCCCCGGGGAGAGAAGAAAAGAAGACAAAAGGAGGAUCACAGGGCCCUGGCUGAUCCACCCUAUCCUGGGCGUGGGGUGGGGGAGCGGGUGCACUUCAGGGAAAAGAUGUGCUCCUUUCUCCUCCCCACAGUGAGGACUCCCAGAGCUUCCUGAGGCCUGCUCCCCCCCAUAAAGGCAACAAGGUCUUGUCCAUCACACGUACAUGGCCUUGAGCGCUGAAUGGGGGCAUGAGGCUGGGUGGGGCCUGGCCCCGAGCUCAGCACAUUCCUGGAGGCAGGAGUCCAAAACCCAGGGUUCUCCUCCUCUGCUCCCUCUCCCUUCCCCAGAUGGCCUUCUAUAAUUCCAAGCCAGUGGCCAGGGCAGGAAAGGGUUAGGUGUCCAGGACUUCCUGGACAGACUCCAGCCAGGUUCCAGGACUGCAGCGGGUAGGUGGGGGUGACCAGAGGGCUGUGUUGGGAAACUGGGAAAACUAACAUCUGGGGCAUGGUCAUCGCCCCUCCUCCUUGCCCAAACCGCAGACGCCGUGGCAGCAGGGAAAUCAGAGCGGUUGGGAGCAAGCUGGGUUGUGUAACCGAGCCCUGGGGACCGCCCCAAGCUGGAGAGGGGAGUGGGGUCUGGGGCCAGGACAGAGUCCACCUCCAAAAUGAGACUAAAAGUUCCUUCUGGAAACACAUUUCAGGGCUCUGGUCUUCGCCCUACACUCCAAGGCGACUAGAAUCCAUUUUCUGGUCCCAAACCUCUGAGAACUAGAAGAAUUAGAAGCUCUGCCCGCCUCGCCUCAGUCUCUCGGCCAGGGGUGGGGCACCAAGAGUGGCUCUGGGCUCUGGGAGGGGCCGCCGUGGAUCAGAGGUGGGUGUGGAGAGAAGCCUCUCUCCCAGCCUCCUGAAGUGGCGGGAUUCUGUGCUUCCCCAGGCGCCUCACAGUAAAAUCUGUAACUGGAGAAGUCCCCUCUCCCUCAGCAAGGAAGCCCAGCCAAGUCCCUACUGUGGCUUAAGGAGUGGCAAUGGGGUGGAGGAGGAAAAUGGAGGGUCAUGGGGAGAAACUUGAUCUGAGGGCUACCCCCAAACAAACGCAGGCAGGGAGCAGUGGAUGUGCCUUUUAAUGCAAAAUGUUGCAAUACAAAACGACGUGGAGAAAGUCGUGUUCUCCAGGGUGCUAAGGGGAGAAGGGAGGCAGGGCAGAGUUGAAAAAUCCCCU